UAGGGAAUAUUGCGCAAUGGGCGAAAGCCUGACGCAGCAAUACCGCGUGAGUGAGGAAGGUCUUCGGAUUGUAAAGCUCUGUCAGAAUGGAAAAACGGCGGACGGUCUAAUAGGCCGUACGAGUGAUGGUACAUUCAAAGGAAGCACCGGCCAACUUCGUGCCAGCAGCCGCGGUAAUACGAAGGGUGCAAGCGUUGUUCGGAUUUAUUGGGCGUAUAGAGAAGCGUAGGUGUUUUUGUAAGUCUUUAGUUAAAUACCACGGCUCAACCGUGGAGAAGCUUUGGAAACUACAAAAAUUGAGACAGGAAUGGGCGAAUGGAAUUCCCAGUGGAGCGGUGAAAUGCGUUGAUAUUGGGAGGAACAUCAGUGGCGAAGGCGAUUCGCUGGUCCUUGUCUGACACUAAGGCUCGAAAGCGUGGGGAGCGAAAC
rnacentral:rRNA from 1 species